rnacentral:rRNA from 1 species
AACGCGAAGAACCUUACCUGGGCUUGACAUGCACGGAAAUCCGGCAGAGAUGUCGGGUCCGUAAGGGCCGUGCACAGGUGGUGCAUGGCUGUCGUCAGCUCGUGUCGUGAGAUGUUGGGUUAAGUCCCGCAACGAGCGCAACCCUCGUUCUAUGUUGCCAGCACGUAAUGGUGGGGACUCAUAGGAGACUGCCGGGGUCAACUCGGAGGAAGGUGGGGAUGACGUCAAGUCAUCAUGCCCCUUAUGUCCAGGGCUUCACGCAUGCUACAAUGGCCGGUACAAAGGGCUGCGAUCCCGUAAGGGGGAGCGAAUCCCAAAAAGCCGGUCUCAGUUCGGAUUGGGGUCUGCAACUCGACCCCAUGAAGUCGGAGUCGCUAGUAAUCGCAGAUCAGCAACGCUGCGGUGAAUACGUUCCCGGGCCUUGUACACACCG